rnacentral:misc_RNA from 1 species
UCCCCGUUCUCCUGGGCAGUCUCUCCAGAGUUCUCGGCUUGACCCGUUAGUAACUGAAGACAGGGGUUGCGCUCGUUGCGGGACUUAACCCAACACCUCACGGCACGAUCGUUGACUAGCCGUUCGAGCCCAGGUAAGGUUCUUCGCGUUGCGUCGAAUUGAACCACAUGCUCCACCGCUUGUGCGGGCCCCCGUCAAUUCCUUUGAGUUUCAGCCUUGCGACUGUACUCCCCAGGCGGCAUAUUUAACGCGUUAGCUCCGGCACAGACAGAAUGAACUGCCUACACCAAAUAUGCAUCGUUUAGGGCGUGGACUAC